UUACCACUUUGUGAUUCAUGACUCGGGUGAAGUCGUAACAAGGUAACCGUAGGGGAACCUGCGGUUGGAUCACCUCCUUA
rnacentral:rRNA from 1 species